rnacentral:rRNA from 1 species
AAUAGAUACCCGGGUAGUCCACGCCGUAAACGAUGAGUGCUAAGUGUUAGAGGGUUUCCGCCCUUUAGUGCUGCAGCAAACGCAUUAAGCACUCCGCCUGGGGAGUACGGCCGCAAGGCUGAAACUCAAAGGAAUUGACGGGGGCCCGCACAAGCGGUGGAGCAUGUGGUUUAAUUCGAAGCAACGCGAAGAACCUUACCAGGUCUUGACAUCCUCUGACACUCCUAGAGAUAGGACGUUCCCCUUCGGGGGACAGAGUGACAGGUGGUGCAUGGUUGUCGUCAGCUCGUGUCGUGAGAUGUUGGGUUAAGUCCCGCAACGAGCGCAACCCUUGAUCUUAGUUGCCAGCAUUAAGUUGGGCACUCUAAGGUGACUGCCGGUGACAAACCGGAGGAAGGUGGGGAUGACGCCAAAUCAUCAUGCCCCUUAUGACCUGGGCCACACACGUGCUACAAUGGAUGGUACAAAGAGCUGCGAACCCGCGAGGGUAAGCGAAUCUCAUAAAGCCAUUCUCAGUUCGGA